UACGUAGGGGGCAAGCGUUGUCCGGAAUCAUUGGGCGUAAAGAGCGUGUAGGCGGCCCGGUAAGUCCGCUGUGAAAGUCCAGGGCUCAACCCUGGGAUGCCGGUGGAUACUGUCGGGCUCGAGUCCGGAAGAGGAGUGUGGAAUUCCUGGUGUAGCGGUGAAAUGCGCAGAUAUCAGGAGGAACACCAAUGGCGAAGGCAGA
rnacentral:rRNA from 1 species